UACGAAGGGGGCUAGCGUUGCUCGGAAUCACUGGGCGUAAAGGGUGCGUAGGCGGGUCUUUAAGUCAGGGUGAAAUCCUGGAGCUCAACUCCAGAACUGCCUUUGAUACUGAAGAUCUUGAGUUCGGGAGAGGUGAGUGGAACUGCGAGUGUAGAGGUGAAAUUCGUAGAUAUUCGCAAGAACACCAGUGGCGAAGGCGGCUCACUGGCCCGAUACUGACGCUGAGGCACGAAAGCGUGGGAGCAACAGG
rnacentral:rRNA from 1 species